CUAAUUUCUUGUUGGUUGAUAUAGAUUUAUAUAGAGGUUGACAAAUUCAGGGAGGAAUUAGUAAAGCAUCCUGAGAAGUCAUUGCCCUCAUUAUUGGUCACUAUUAGUGGUUUAUUUUCAAAAUUGGAGGCGUCAAUUGGCCAUUUUCAUACAGUGUGUCAGAGUGACUCUUCUGUUGAUGGGAGCUAUUCAUUCCCUCUAAUGUUUGAGAAAUUGCCAGAAGUGAACCAAGAAGGCUCUCAAUGGACAGAUUGUGAGAUUAGAGAUGCUAUCAA